rnacentral:rRNA from 1 species
GACGAACGCUGGCGGCGUGCUUAACACAUGCAAGUCGAACGGAAAGGCCCUGCUUUUGUGGGGUGCUCGAGUGGCGAACGGGUGAGUAACACGUGAGUAACCUGCCCUUGACUUUGGGAUAACUUCAGGAAACUGGGGCUAAUACCGGAUAGGAGCUCCUGCUGCAUGGUGGGGGUUGGAAAGUUUCGGCGGUUGGGGAUGGACUCGCGGCUUAUCAGCUUGUUGGUGGGGUAGUGGCUUACCAAGGCGUUGACGGGUAGCCGGCCUGAGAGGGUGACCGGCCACAUUGGGACUGAGAUACGGCCCAGACUCCUACGGGGGGCAGCAGUGGGAAAUAUUGCACAAUGGGCGGAAGCCUGAUGCAGCAACGCCGCGUGCGGGAUAACGGCCUUCGGGUUGUAAACCGCUUUCGCCUGUGACGAAGCGUGAGUGACGGUAAUGGGUAAAGAAGCACCGGCUAACUACGUG